UACGAAGGGUGCAAGCGUUGUUCGGAUUUACUGGGCGUAAAGCGCGCGCAGGCGGAUAUGUAAGCCAGAUGUGAAAUCUCGGGGCUCAACCCCGAAACUGCGUCUGGAACUGCGUAUCUAGGAUCUCAUAGAGGGAAGGGGAAUUUCUUGUGUAGGGGUAAAAUCCGUAGAGAUAAGAAGGAACAUCAGAGGCGAAGGCGCCUUCCUGGAUGAGUAUCGACGCUGAGGCGCGAAAGCGUGGGGAGCAAACAGG
rnacentral:rRNA from 1 species